GCAAUGGGCGAAAGCCUGACGCAGCCAUGCCGCGUGAAUGAUGAAGGUCUUAGGAUUGUAAAAUUCUUUCACCGGGGACGAUAAUGACGGUACCCGGAGAAGAAGCCCCGGCUAACUUCGUGCCAGCAGCCGCGGUAAUACGAAGGGGGCUAGCGUUGCUCGGAAUUACUGGGCGUAAAGGGCGCGUAGGCGGAUCGUUAAGUCAGGGGUGAAAUCCCAGAGCUCAACUCUGGAACUGCCUUUGAUACUGGCGAUCUUGAGUAUGAGAGAGGUAUGUGGAACUCCGAGUGUAGAGGUGAAAUUCGUAGAUAUUCGGAAGAACACCAGUGGCGAAGGCGACAUACUGGCUCAUUACUGACGCUGAGGCGCGAAAGCGUGGGGAGCAAACAGGAUUAGAUACCCUGGUAGUCCACGCCGUAAACGAUGAUUGCUAGUUGUCGGGCUGCAUGCAGUUCGGUGACGCAGCUAACGCAUUAAGCAAUCCGCCUGG
rnacentral:rRNA from 1 species